UCUCCUUACCCAUCUCUUUUCUCUAACCUUCCAUCAUGCCGUCAUCGUAGGACUACCGCCUGUGGCAUAAGUUCCGUCUCCACAAUUCCUGCUACUUAGAAGAGCACUACUAUGCUUCCCCUUCACCCUCAGCAAUGCCAACUGGACCGGCAGCACUAAUGGCCAUCCCUAUAUCUGUCACCCUCACGAGCUCAGCCCUGUACCCAUCCGCACCCUCCGCUCUGCUCCCCUCCUCCGAAAUCCACGACAAAGGACCACCGCACCCGUAAUUUCUUCCCCGAGUGCCUCCAACGCCUGGGAAAAGCGAGAUGCUGGUGCUGUCACUUUGGUAAAAAAAUUCAAUUGGAUUAAUUUGUAACCGAAUCGUCUUCUAUCAGAGGUAGGUAGGUAGGUGUGUGGGUGGAUGGGUGUAACUUAAAAACGCCAACUUUCUUAUUUAUUUAUUCGCCC
rnacentral:lncRNA from 1 species